GAUGAACGCUGGCGGCGUGCUUAACACAUGCAAGUCGAACGGAAAGGCUCCUGCUUGCAGGGGUACUCGAGUGGCGAACGGGUGAGUAACACGUGGGUGAUCUGCCCUGCACUUCGGGAUAAGCCUGGGAAACUGGGUCUAAUACCGGAUAGGACCACAUUUUGGAUGGUGUGGUGGAAAGUUUUUCGGUGUGGGAUGAGCUCGCGGCCUAUCAGCUUGUUGGUGGGGUAAUGGCCUACCAAGGCGUCGACGGGUAGCCGGCCUGAGAGGGUGUACGGCCACCUUGGGACUGAGAUACGGACCAGACUCCUACGGGAGGCAGCAGUGGGGAAUAUUGCACAAUGGGCGCAAGCCUGAUGCAGCGACGCCGCGUGGGGGAUGACGGCCUUCGGGUUGUAAACUCCUUUCGCUGGGGACGAAGCGCAAGUGACGGUACCUAGAGAAGAAGCACCGGCUAACUACGUG
rnacentral:rRNA from 1 species